UACGUAGGGUGCAAGCGUUGCCCGGAUUUAUUGGGCGUAAAGGGCGCGUAGGCGGCUCUGCACGUUCGUUGUGAAAUCGCCCGGCUCAACUGGGCGGGGUCAGCGGAUACGGCAGAGCUUGAGCAAGCUAGGGGGCAAUGGAAUUCCCGGUGUAGUGGUGGAAUGCGUAGAUAUCGGGAGGAACACCAGUGGCGAAGGCGGCUCACUGGACCGGAACUGACGCUGAGGCGCGAAAGCGUGGGGAGCAAACGGG
rnacentral:rRNA from 1 species